CAUUUACGCACUCCUCUCAAACACCCCUCAUCUCUUACUCUUUCCAUUACUCUUCUUCUGUUACUUUUGAAAUUCAUUUCAAUUUUUCUUCCAUUCAAUGUCAUAGGCGUUAGGUUCAGGUUUUUUACCUAAUCUUCGAUAACUCCCGGUAGAAAGUGCAGAAGAUUUGAGUUUGCGUAGCUCUACCAGUUUCAAGGUACUUAGUGCAACCAAAUAAGAAAUCAAUUUAAUAACCAAAAUCCCUUUCAGACGCCAGUCCAUUGCACAACUCCAUUAUCCCAGGUAUACCGUAUAGGCGAAUAACAAUGUUUGUUGUGGGAGUCAACAAGAAGGAAUUCAAAUCAUACAUUGAAACUGUGUCUAAUGCCAAAUGCACCGCUAACUGUCUUCCUCCUUUUGCCAAAGUUAUCAAUGGCAAAUACAGAAUUAUUGAAGGACUUGGGAAUGCCGCUCAUUCCAUCACUGCCACCCAGAUGGCUGUUGAUGGACCAUCCAGCAAGGACUAGAAAGUGGAGAAGCUGCUUUAUAGUUUAUUCAACAUAAUUCCCAGCAUCACAAAAGUUGCCAAGGUCCUGCGGUAAUUGUUGGAUGAAUCUAUGAUUUCUUAUCAGCAUAGAGAUUUGUAAUAAAAAUGAAGAGAGGAUUUACUAAGAUUUUAAAUCUUUUGGAUGUGUUGUACCAGAAAUAAUCACCGCUUUUCAAUGUUUUUUUUAAAUUGUUUUGUGUUUCUCCUUGGACCUUGGUUAUUAUAUCAAGUUUACAUCCAGCUUCAUGUAGAUAUCAUGUUGCUAAAUAUU